rnacentral:tRNA from 6 species
UCCGCAGUAGCUCAGUUGGUAGAGCGACUCCCUGUUAAGGAGUUGGUCGUAGGUUCGAGUCCUACCUGCGGAG